UAGGAUCCAAUUAGCUUGAGGAAAAUGUUCACUCUUGCUUAUGUGAAGCUUGGGUAAGGUUGUGAAUAAAUAAUUGGAGAUUGAAAUUGUGAAUACUGGAACUUGGAGGAAGCGGAUUAGUUGAGGUUUUGAGGGCUGUGUUCUUUUAGAAAAAUUGUCUUGGAAUAAUACCUGGGAAUCGGCUAAGAUGCAGGUCGAGAGGCAUCUCAUUAGGCGUCUGGACUCUUGAAGCGGAGUGGUUACUGGGUUAUUUUGUUAUGCUAUGAUGUAUAUAUAUGUACUUAGCUUACUCUCUACAUAACUUAUUCUUUUUGAUCCUCCUAGAGGUGUUUGGAG